UAUCUAUCAACUCCUUUUGGUCAUAUUAUAUACAGCAGGCUAUAUUCAAUAUAAUUCAUUUAGCCUAUUUUGUUUUUCAGAGAAAAACAAUUCUCAGAGAUAACUUGGUGAUUGGAGCUGUGAACAGUGGUGGAUGGUGGAUUCUGGGGAUGCUGGGAUGUAUUCUCUGAGCACCUCUGUACCAUCUACAUUUUACUAACUUUAAACAGAAAAUGAUGUGUUAGUCAGAGCAUCUGGGUAGCGUGAGAACAGAACUGACCUGUUGGUGUGGAUACACAGGGAUCUGCAAAUUAAGAUAUCAUGAAAGUUUCAGGAUAACGAGAUCCAUUGACACCAAUUACCGUGGAUCAUGAACCAAUUGGACUACAUUAUCUAUGGAUGUAAUAUUUCAUCAUCAUUCUUUAUCGGACACUGUUCUAUGGUCCUUUUACCACUUUUCCAGACCAUGUUUUCAGGUUUGACAUUACUGUACACUCACCGGCCACGUUAUUAGGUACACCAAUCUAGUACCGGGUAGGACUCCCUUUUGCCUCCACAACAGCCCGAGUUAUUCACGGUGUUGUACAUUAGGAGAUGCCCUUCUCCACACCACUGUUUUAAAUGGCUGUAAUUUGGGCAUUUGUGGCCUUUCUGUUAGCUUGAAUGAGUCUGGACACUCUCCUCUGACCUUUCUCAUUAACAAGGUGUUUUUGCCCACAGAACUGCCGCUCGCUGAAUGUGUUUUGUUUAUCGCACCAUUCUCUGUAAACUCUAGAGACUAGUGUGUAAAAAUCCCAGGAGGGCAGCUGUUUCUGAGAUGCUGGAACCACCAUGUGUGGCACCAACAAACAUACCACGGUCAAAGUUGCUGAGAUUACGCAUCUUGCCCAUUCUAAUGUUUGGUCGAACAACAACUAAAGCUCUCUACUCUAUAUGUUGAGUUGCAGGCAGCCACAUGAUUCGCUGUUCGAAGGAGCAGGCUAUUUGCAUUAACAUGCAGGUGUACCUAAUAAAGUGGCCAGUGUGUGUAUGUAUGCAGGCCCUUGUAAUUGUUUUCCCAAUACUGACAACUCGUUACUGAUGAUUGAUUUCACAUUGUGGUCUGAGUAUAUAGUGAAAUGAGUGGUAUCCACCUACAACAACAUAGCGAUAACAUGGGGCCAGCAGGUGAUCCAGGUCACAAUAGAGGUCAAGCAGUGGGAGGAGGAAGACGAGGAAGACGUAGUGGUCAAAGGAAUGGCAGGGGACAAGCACCGCUUCUGAGAGGUGGUCGUGGGCCUCGUUUGAGAGGUGUGAGGGAACAUGGUAGAGGACAAGACCAGGGACCAAGACAUCUGCAGCAAAAGCAAAGAGUGUCCAAUGAAAUCCGAGCAAUAGUUGUAGACCAUGUGGUAAAUCAUGGCAAAACAAUGACUGAGGCAGCUACAAUGAUUCCACCAAACCUCAGAAGAUCAAUCGUGGCCUCAAUCAUGAGAACUUUCCACAAUGAGAACUGAAUUGAGACUUGGCCAAAUAGUGGACGCAGAGGCAAAAUUCUGACUGACCAACAAGAGCGGGCUGUGGUCAAUUUAGUUCGGGCCAGAAAUUAUAAUCGCCUUACAGAAAUUCGGCAGAACAUCAUGGACUAUGAUGACAUGUUCAACAAUGUGGAAGCCAUAAGUUUGCAGACUAUUGCACGCAUGCUGAAAAGGCACCAGGCGUCUCUAAAACAGCUAUGCCGUGUGCCUUUUGAAAGAAAUGCAGACAGAGUGAAGCAACUGAGGACUGAAGGGUGAUGGAUCUGGAUGCUGAUGAAAACCUUCACAAAUUCCUCUUUUUGGAUGAGGCAGGCUUCAACCUGGCCAAGACAAGGAGGAAUUUCAUUGGCCAGAGGGCAACCAUCCAAGUACCUGGACAACGUGGGGCCAACAUCACCAUGUGUGCGGCUAUAUCGGAAGAUGGUGUGGUGGGACACAGACCUCGCAUUGGCUCAUAUAAUGCAGCUCUCCUUGUGUAACCUUCUUGAUGAGCUAAAUCAGGUCUGUAGAGAUGAUGGCGUGACCUAUGUCAUUGCGUGGGACAAUGUCAGGUUCCACCAUGCUCAAAUGGUGCAAGCAUGGUUUCAGGCCCAUCCACAAUUUACCACCCUGUACUUACCCCCAUACUCUCCUUUCCUUAACCCGAUUGAGGAAUUUUUCUCCACAUGGAGGCGGAAGGUAUAUGAUAGGCGCCCUCACGAACAAGCCACCCUUCUCCAGGCCAUGGAUGACACAUGCAAUGACAUCACGGCAGACCAGUGUCAGGCCUGGAUUCACCAUGCCCGAAGAUUCUUCCCAAGAUGCUUGGCCAAUGAAAACAUCCAUUGUGAUGUGGAUACGAACCUGUGGCCAAAUCCACAAUUGAUGGAAAUAUAGAAGUACAGUAAUCAAUACUUUGUUUUGCUUUUUACAGUAAGCCAGUUGACAUUUUACUGUAGUGUUUUUCUUUUUUGUAGCUAAUUAUUUUUGCUUUGAUUCAAGGAAACCUAUGUUGUGAUUUUAUUGUAUUUCAUCAAUAAAUUUCAGAUUUUGUUCAAUGAUUCCACUGUGUCUGUAGUAUUCUCUCUACUAGUCCUUUUACAGUGAAGUAUUUACGU
rnacentral:lncRNA from 1 species